AUCGCUUCUCGGCCUUUUGGCUAAGAUCAAGUGUAGAACUUGCUUGGGAUUCUCUCUCUCUCCCCCUUUCUCUGCCCCUCCCUCUCCUUCUCUCAAAAUAAUUAAAUAAUAACAAUAAAUAAAGAUAAUAAAAAGUUUCAAAAAAAUUUUUUUAAGUUUCUUUUUUUUUUUUUUUAAUGUUUAUUUUUGUUUUGAGAGAGAGACAGCAUGAGCAGGGGAGGGGCAGAGAGAGAGGGAGACACAAA
rnacentral:snRNA from 1 species